GACGAACGCUGGCGGCGUGCCUAAUACAUGCAAGUCGAACGAACUCUGGUAUUGAUUGGUGCUUGCAUCAUGAUUUACAUUUGAGUGAGUGGCGAACUGGUGAGUAACACGUGGGAAACCUGCCCAGAAGCGGGGGAUAACACCUGGAAACAGAUGCUAAUACCGCAUAACAACUUGGACCGCAUGGUCCGAGCUUGAAAGAUGGCUUCGGCUAUCACCUUUGGAUGGUCCCGCGGCGUAUUAGCUAGAUGGUGGGGUAACGGCUCACCAUGGCAAUGAUACGUAGCCGACCUGAGAGGGUAAUCGGCCACAUUGGGACUGAGACACGGCCCAAACUCCUACGGGAGGCAGCAGUAGGGAAUCUUCCACAAUGGACGAAAGUCUGAUGGAGCAACGCCGCGUGAGUGAAGAAGGGUUUCGGCUCGUAAAACUCUGUUGUUAAAGAAGAACAUAUCUGAGAGUAACUGUUCAGGUAUUGACGGUAUUUAACCAGAAAGCCACGGCUAACUACGUGCCAGCAGCCGCGGUAAUACGUAGGUGGCAAGCGUUGUCCGGAUUUAUUGGGCGUAAAGCGAGCGCAGGCGGUUUUUUAAGUCUGAUGUGAAAGCCUUCGGCUCAACCGAAGAAGUGCAUCGGAAACUGGGAAACUUGAGUGCAGAAGAGGACAGUGGAACUCCAUGUGUAGCGGUGAAAUGCGUAGAUAUAUGGAAGAACACCAGUGGCGAAGGCGGCUGUCUGGUCUGUAACUGACGCUGAGGCUCGAAAGUAUGGGUAGCAAACAGGAUUAGAUACCCUGGUAGUCCAUACCGUAAACGAUGAAUGCUAAGUGUUGGAGGGUUUCCGCCCUUCAGUGCUGCAGCUAACGCAUUAAGCAUUCCGCCUGGGGAGUACGGCCGCAAGGCUGAAACUCAAAGGAAUUGACGGGGGCCCGCACAAGCGGUGGAGCAUGUGGUUUAAUUCGAAGCUACGCGAAGAACCUUACCAGGUCUUGACAUACUAUGCAAAUCUAAGAGAUUAGACGUUCCCUUCGGGGACAUGGAUAUAGGUGGUGCAUGGUUGUCGUCAGCUCGUGUCGUGAGAUGUUGGGUUAAGUCCCGCAACGAGCGCAACCCUUAUUAUCAGUUGCCAGCAUUAAGUUGGGCACUCUGGUGAGACUGCCGGUGACAAACCGGAGGAAGGUGGGGAUGACGUCAAAUCAUCAUGCCCCUUAUGACCUGGGCUACACACGUGCUACAAUGGAUGGUACAACGAGUUGCGAACUCGCGAGAGUAAGCUAAUCUCUUAAAGCCAUUCUCAGUUCGGAUUGUAGGCUGCAACUCGCCUACAUGAAGUCGGAAUCGCUAGUGAUCGCGGAUCAGCAUGCCGCGGUGAAUACGUUCCCGGGCCUUGUACACACCGCCCGUCACACCAUGAGAGUUUGUAACACCCAAAGUCGGUGGGGUAACCUUUUAGGAACCAGCCGCCUAAGGUGGGACAGAUGAUUAGGGUG
rnacentral:rRNA from 1 species